rnacentral:rRNA from 1 species
ACAUGCCUAUAGAAUAGAGUUAAUGCACCAGAUACCAUUAGAACUUCCCAGUUAAGUAUGCUUAGGAUAGAUUAGUACUGGGAUGGGUGACCGCCCAGGAAGUUGUAGUGUUUUACAUGCC